AGCAGCCGCGGUAAUUCCAGCUCCAAUAGCGUAUAUUAAAGUUGUUGCAGUUAAAAAGCUCGUAGUUGAAUUUCGGGAUUAGUACGUUGGUCGUGCCUUCGGUACGUACUGGUGUUACUGAUUCCUACCUUCUGACGAACCAUCAUGUCAUUAAUUUGGUGUGGCGGGGAAUCAGGACUGUUACUUUGAAAAAAUUAGAGUGUUUAAAGCAGGCUCGCGCUUGAAUACAUUAGCAUGGAAUAAUGAAAUAGGACGUUGAUCCUAUUUUGUUGGUUUCUAGGAUUGACGUAAUGAUUAAUAGGGAUAGUUGGGGGCAUUAGUAUUCAAUUGUCAGAGGUGAAAUUCUUGGAUUUAUUGAAGACUAACUACUGCGAAAGCAUUUGCCAAGGAUGUUUUCAUUAAUCAAGAACGAAAGUUAGGGGAAUCGAAGACGAUCAGAUACCGUCGUAG
rnacentral:rRNA from 1 species